AUUGAACGCUGGCGGCAGGCCUAACACAUGCAAGUCGAGCGGAUGAAGGGAGCUUGCUCCUGGAUUCAGCGGCGGACGGGUGAGUAAUGCCUAGGAAUCUGCCUGGUAGUGGGGUAUAACGUCCGGAAACGGGCGCUAAUACCGCAUACGUCCUGAGGGAGAAAGUGGGGGAUCUUCGGACCUCACGCUAUCAGAGGAGCCUAGGUCGGAUUAGCUAGCUGGUGGGGUAAAGGCCUACCAAGGCGACGAUCCGUAACUGGUCUGAGAGGAUGAUCAGUCACACUGGAACUGAGACACGGUCCAGACUCCUACGGGAGGCAGCAGUGGGGAAUAUUGGACAAUGGGCGAAAGCCUGAUACAGCCAUGCCGCGUGUGUGAAGAAGGUCUUCGGAUUGGAAAGCACUUUAAGUUGGGAGGAAGGGCAGUAAGUUAAUACCUUGCUGUUUUGACGGUACCAACAGAAUAAGCACCGGCUAACUUCGUG
rnacentral:rRNA from 1 species